rnacentral:misc_RNA from 1 species
UUAAGUUCAGCGGGUAGUCCUACCUGAUUUGAGAUCGAACGGUCAAAAAGCUGUCUUCGCUGAGGAGAGACGUUUGUAAGCUCCAGCAAACCUCCAUCUCCGAAGGUUACUUGGCAAACAAUCACAAGCUUAGAUAGUUAUCACAACUGUGAUGCCACCAAAUACUGGCAAGCUGAUCUGUUUCAGAGGAGCCGACUGUA